rnacentral:rRNA from 1 species
CACGUAGGGGACGAGCGUUGUCCGGAAUCAUUGGGCGUAAAGCGCGUGUAGGCGGUCCGGUAAGUCCGCUGUGAAAGUCGGGGGCUCAACCCUCGGAUGCCGGUGGAUACUGUCGGGCUUGAGUACGGAAGAGGCGAGUGGAAUUCCUGGUGUAGCGGUGAAAUGCGCAGAUAUCAGGAAGAACACCAAUGGCGAAGGCAGCUCUCUGGGACGGUACUGACACUGAGACGCGAAAGCGUGGGGAGCGAACAGG